CCACCCAGCAGCACGGCUGCCUCCCUGCCAGCACAGCCCCACGGUGCCAGGGGAGGGGACCCAAACCAGCAGGUUCAGGCUCCGCUAGCACGGUGGAAGCGAGAUACCACAAUGAGCAAACCUGCCUCCCAGUCUCGGGGUCACUGCUGAGGACUGUGGCUGCCUGUGGCGGAAGAAAAAACCGAUUGGGAGAGAUAUGUGGCAUGGAGAAGCAUCUAUGGGAACUAGAUGGACUUUUAUACACUGGACAAUUCAUCCACCGGAUUGACAGUUGUUCCCCAGUUUUACCCCAGUUUAUUGCUGCAUUGUCAUGAAGUUUUAUAUACCCCAGUUUAUUGUUAAAUUUUUAUGAAGUUUGUUAUAUCCCCAUAUUGUUCCCCUUUCUCCCUCAGACUUUCCCGCCCGAAGUUGUUUGUCACCCUGUCCUCCCCUGCUUUCCUGCUCCCCUGCUACUGAUUGGCUACAGUUUGCUGCAGUACAGGGAGAGCUACCAUUGCCCCCUUCCCCUGGAGACCCAAGAGUUCCACCCACCUUUUCCCUGUCUCCCUAUCACACUUUUCCCUGAGUUGUCAGUCCCAUGCUCCUCCCCAGUUCUGAAUCCUCCCCUCAGACCUACCUUAUUUAAACCCCUGUUUUCCCUGAAUAAAUCGGCAUUGCUUCCCGAACCCU